CAAUAGCGUAUAUUUAAGUUGCUGCAGUUAAAAAGCUCGUAGUUGGAUUUCGGGUGGGAAUGGCCGGUCCGCCGUUUCGGUGUGCACUUGCUACGCCCACCUUGCUGCCGGGGACGUGCUCUUGAGUUCACGCUCGGGACACGGAGUCGGCGAGGUUACUUUGAGUAAAUUAGAGUGUUCAAAGCAGGCCUACGCUCUGAAUACAUUAGCAUGGAAUAACACGAUAGGACUCUGGCCUAUCUUGUUGGUCUGUAGGACCGGAGUAAUGAUUAAGAGGGACAGUCGGGGGCAUUCGUAUUUCAUUGUCAGAGGUGAAAUUCUUGGAUUUAUGAAAGACGAACUACUGCUAAAGCAUUUGCCAAGGAUGUUUUCAUUAA
rnacentral:rRNA from 1 species